UUUGAACUAGAGGUGAGAAAGUGGGC
rnacentral:piRNA from 1 species